rnacentral:rRNA from 1 species
CUACGGGUGGCAGCAGUGGGGAAUAUUGGACAAUGGGCGAAAGCCUGAUCCAGCCAUGCCGCGUGUGUGAAGAAGGCCUUCGGGUUGUAAAGCACUUUCAGUGGGGAAGAAAGCCUUGGGGCUAAUACCCUCGAGGAAGGACAUCACCCACAGAAGAAGCACCGGCUAACUCCGUGCCAGCAGCCGCGGUAAUACGGAGGGUGCGAGCGUUAAUUGGAAUUACUGGGCGUAAAGCGCGCGUAGGCGGUCUGAUAAGCCGGUUGUGAAAGCCCCGGGCUCAACCUGGGAACGGCAUCCGGAACUGUCAGGCUAGAGUGCAGGAGAGGAAGGUAGAAUUCCCGGUGUAGCGGUGAAAUGCGUAGAGAUCGGGAGGAAUACCAGUGGCGAAGGCGGUCUUCUGGACUGACACUGACGCUGAGGUGCGAAAGCGUGGGUAGCAAACAGGAUUAGAUACCCUUGUAGUC